UGAGCUGAUUAAAAUGAAGAUCGCAGUUCGCCUUCUUCUGAUGUAUGUUGCAAAUCUCUGUGUUGUGACAGACAGUUGUUGCAAAACGACUGGUGAAGGCUGUACAAGUUACAUGACGUGCUGUGUAGAUUAUGAUUGUGUGGUUAAUACAAGAAGAUAUAAAGGAGAUGGUGGAGAAAAAAUAUGUUGGCCUGUAAAGUAAAAAGAAAAUGAAUGAAAGAAUCUUUACGAAAAAAUAAACAUCGGGC